GCAAAACGGACACCCAAGUAGGUCUGGGCGCUACCCGUGACUACACAUGAGCAAAACGAACACCCUACUAAUUUAAUCGGUUCUAAAGGUGUCGACUUGUCUCAAAGUGAAAAGUCCAGUGUUUUGUUCCGAGGCUAUUCUUUCACACAUGGCACGUAGGUUAGCCAAAGAGCCGUAACUCUUAGGCCUCCUACGAUCAUAAAGCGCCUGGAACGCUUCCUCAGUCACUACGCCCAUUAGCCCUCUCUGAACGUCCUUCUUAGAUGGCCUUCUUGUGCCUCUCGGGUACGUUGUGUCAAGGUACGAAAGCCUAGCAGCUAAGCUUUCGACUGGGCAGCGUAGGAAACUGUCGGGAUCAUGUCGUCUAACAUCCUGGCGCCGGCUACGGUCACUGUCAUAACUUGGCGGCCGCUCAAAAGUUUGCACUUGGCUGGCAAACGCCACAACGGGCGCUUGUUGAUUGUCACCUCGUGCAUGAGAGCGACCUCUUUCUCCACCUUCAGCAUGGCGCCGAAGGUCGAUCAUUUUGUGCUCGUAAUCGGCCACGAUGUCUAUAUACACCUGAUAAGCACGUGCAUAAGACUGAUAAUCACCACUGAACAUCUCCAAAGUGGGGCAAACCGGCCUCUCGACUUGGAUUUGC
rnacentral:misc_RNA from 1 species